rnacentral:piRNA from 3 species
CCCAGUGUUUAGACUAUCUGUUCA